UGCAGCAGAAAAAAAUACCAGGGUUGAGCCUGUCCAGUACCUGGAUGGGAGACCUCCUGGGGAAAACUAAGGUUGCUGCUGGAA
rnacentral:rRNA from 1 species